GUUUGUUUGACCUCGUCCCUGCGUGGACUCUCAAUUUACACCUCGUCUAACAAAGCCUUUGCGUCUAAAUCCUCACGCAGACCCCUAAAGGUUCCUUUCCGGUAUCGAACCUGUGAAAGCCGGCGGCGGGGGUCGGGGGGUCGGCGAAGACGCCUGGACGCAGGGAAACAACCGUGCUGGAGGUGGCAGGACAGGUUUGCGGAGCCCCGGGGGCCUUCGGCUGCUGGUCCCUCCUCACUUGGCCCCCGCAGCCCUGCUGCUGCACAUCAACCAUGCAAGUUUUACCCUCCAUUGGUCUCCGGGAGCAGAAACAACAGUGGAAUGGCUGGAAAAUGUGAUGGAUGUGUCAUCAGCUUUUCCAUGUAACCCACAGACAGACGGCAUAUAAAUCCUUUUUUCAGCCUCACCCCAUUCUGACACACACGCACACACACACACACACACACACACCCUCAGGUACACUGCAGCGUGAGAGGACGGCAAAGAGCUCAACCGUGAGCUGAACUUGGAUGAUUCAAGUGCCAAAUUUAUUGUAAGGUGAUUCUGUGGAGAACGCAACACACACACACACACACACGCACGCACACGCACUAACAGACACAAACACACACACACACACACACAGUGUUCGUCACAGAGAGUCAUGGACACAAAGGAGAGAAGCUCAUCUUUCAUCAUGCGAGGCCACUGAAAACACGGAGCUAUCAAAACAGUCAGAAGAGGAACGGACGGAUUUCAGCGCCGAGAGGAAACUCAAACCGCUGUUAGACCGGGUCAGAGCCCAGUUAGACCGGGCUAGACCGGGUCAGACCCGGGUUAGACCGGGCUAGACCGGGUCAGAGCCCAGUUAGACCGGGCUAGACCAGGUCAGACCCGGGUAAGAGCAGAGAUAGCAGAAAGUGCCUCGGCC
ensembl:lncRNA